CUUCACCGAGCCGAGCAGCAGCGGGCGGCCGGCGGGCCGCCCCUGGCCGUAGGUGGCGAGCAGGGCCUGGGCCUC
rnacentral:antisense_RNA from 1 species